AGCUUUUACAGGAAUUGCUAGGAAAUGUACUGAUCCCAAAGUCUGAUAUUGUGCAGGCGUGUAAAUGUUUACUGAAAGAGAAGCAGAGUACAAAUGUAUUGAGAUUUUUCCAAACCAUUAAUCGGCGAUAUGAUAUCACUGUGAAGUUGAAGCAGCUACGUUGCAAAACAUUAAUAUUUGUUGGAGAGAUUUCUCCUUUUCAUUCUGAAUCACUUCACAUGAUCUUGAAGAUGGUUCACCAAUGUGGUGCACUUGUGGAGGUAUUUUUAUGUUACUUAAACGUGAUAUUUUUUGGUAUGCCAUCAAAAUUUUGAAUAGUAUUGCUACAUUGUUUUGCAUUAUUUAUUCAUUCAAAUAUUAGUUUUACAAUUGAAUAAAGUGUCACAAUAAUU